rnacentral:rRNA from 1 species
UACGUAGGGGGCAAGCGUUGUCCGGAAUCAUUGGGCGUAAAGCGCGUGUAGGCGGCUCGGUAAGUCCGCUCUGAAAAGUCCAGGGCUCAACCCUGGGAUGCGGGUGGAUACUGCCGGGCUCGAGUCCGGAAGAGGCGAGUGGAAUUCCCGGUGUAGCGGUGAAAUGCGCAGAUAUCGGGAGGAACACCAAUGGCGAAGGCAGCUCGCUGGGACGUGACUGACGCUGAGACGCGAAAGCGUGGGGAGCAAACAGGG